CAGUCGCCGCGGGAAUACAGAGGCCUCAAGCGUUGUUCGGAUUCAUUGGGCGUAAAGGGUGCGUAGGUGGCUUGGUAAGUUGAAGGUGAAAUCUCGGGGCUUAACCCCGAAACUGCCUUCAAUACUGCUAGGCUCGAGGACUGUAGAGGAGAAUGGAAUUCACGGUGUAGCAGUGAAAUGCGUAGAUAUCGUGAGGAAGACCAGUGGCGAAGGCGAUUCUCUGGGCAGUUCCUGACACUGAGGCACGAAGGCCAGGGGAGCAAACGGGAUUAGAUACCCGCGUAGUCCCUGUCUCUUAUAC
rnacentral:rRNA from 1 species